AGCAGUAGCCGCGGUAGUACGAAGGGUGCAAGCGUUAAUCGGAAUCACUGGCGUAAAGCGUGCGUAGGCGGUGAGUUAAGUCUGCUGUGAAAUCCCCGGGCUCAACCUGGGGAUGGCAGUGGAUACUGGCUCGCUAGAGUGUGUCAGAGGAUGGUGGAAUUCCCGGUGUAGCGGUGAAAUGCGUAGAGAUCGGGAGGAACAUCAGUGGUGAAGGCGGCCAUCUGGGACAACACUGACGCUGAGGCACGGAAGCGUGGGGAGCAAACAGGAUUAGAUACCCCCGUAGUCCCUGUCUCUUAUACA
rnacentral:rRNA from 1 species